GUCAUCUAGAUACUAUAUCUUGGAGUCCUCAUACUAUACCUUCAUCUUCAUUCAUUCUACAGGAGACUUUGCUCAGUGUAUAGUGCCUCCAGUUUACACUGUAUUGCCUAUGAAGCUGCAUCUGGCAUCUUCUUCGUAUACGUUAAAGAGCAAAAGCCAGCUUCCUGUGGAUUUCACUCUUCAACUUGUCAGUGUCCAGACCCUCUGAUCUCCGUAACUGCCUCUCUGAUUAUCCCCUCAGUCAGGGGCUUUGGUUGGCCAAACUGAAGCUCCCAGUGCUCUGUAUGUUCCCUCAUCUCAGGCUCCAGAGUACCUCAGUUUUUAAUAAUAGAUUGUCUGUCUAGGUGGUACCAUACAUUGCCCUUUGAGUCAUACAGUGUGACAAAAUAGGAUUUCUCUCUACUGCUGACCUGUCCUCUAGAGGAACCACAAGAACUUACAAUGGGGUUUAUGGGUUUUGAAAACUGCUUGCAGAGACAGCUGACCCCAGCUCGUGGGAGCUCACAGACUCUAGACUGACAGCUAGGGAACCAAACUAGGAACCAAAAUAGGCCCUAUGCAUGUGGGUAACAGUUGUGUAGCUUGGUUUGUUUGUGGGGCUUUUAGCAGUGGGACCAGGAUCUGUCCCUGGCACAUGAGAUGGCUUUUUGGAACCUAUUCCCUAUGAUGGGAUGCCUUGCUCAGCCUUGAUGCAGGGGGGCGGAGCUUGGUCCUGCUUAAACUUGAUAUGACAUGAUUUGUUGACUUCCAUGGGAGGUCUUUCCCUUUCUAGGGAGUGGAUGAGGGGUGGGU